UAAUACGGAGGGUGCAAGCAUUGAUCGGAAUUACUGGGCGUAAAGGGCGCGUAGGCGGCAAAGAAAGUCAGAUGUGAAAUUCCGGGGCUCAACCCCGGAGCUGCAUUUGAAACUUCUUAGCUAGAGUACAGUUAGGGAAAACAGAAUUCCACGUGUAGCGGUGAAAUGCGUAGAUAUGUGGAAGAAUACCGGUGGUGAAGACGGUUUUCUGGGCUGUAACUGACGCUGAGGCGCGAAAGCAUGGGGAGCAAACAGG
rnacentral:rRNA from 1 species